GACGAACGCUGGCGGCGUGCUUAACACAUGCAAGUCGAGCGGUAAGGCCCUUUCGGGGGUACACGAGCGGCGAACGGGUGAGUAACACGUGGGUGACCUGCCCUCAGCUCUGGGAUAAGCCUGGGAAACCGGGUCUAAUACUGGAUAUGACUCCAUGACGCAUGUUGUGGGGUGGAAAGCCUUGUGCGGCUGAGGAUGGGCCCGCGGCCUAUCAGCUUGUUGGNGGGGUGAUGGCCUACCAAGGCGACGACGGGUAGCCGGCCUGAGAGGGCGACCGGCCACACUGGGACUGAGACACGGCCCAGACUCCUACGGGAGGCAGCAGUGGGGAAUCUUGCGCAAUGGGCGAAAGCCUGACGCAGCGACGCCGC
rnacentral:rRNA from 1 species